rnacentral:rRNA from 1 species
CCUACGGGGGGCAGCAGUGGGGAAUAUUGGACAAUGGGCGAAAGCCUGAUCCAGCCAUGCCGCGUGUGUGAAGAAGGCCUUCGGGUUGUAAAGCACUUUCAGUGGGGAAGAAAGCCUUGGGGCUAAUACCCUCGAGGAAGGACAUCACCCACAGAAGAAGCACCGGCUAACUCCGUGCCAGCAGCCGCGGUAAUACGGAGGGUGCGAGCGUUAAUCGGAAUUACUGGGCGUAAAGCGCGCGUAGGCGGUCUGAUAAGCCGGUUGUGAAAGCCCCGGGCUCAACCUGGGAACGGCAUCCGGAACUGUCAGGCUAGAGUGCAGGAGAGGAAGGUAGAAUUCCCGGUGUAGCGGUGAAAUGCGUAGAGAUCGGGAGGAAUACCAGUGGCGAAGGCGUCCUUCUGGACUGACACUGACGCUGAGGUGCGAAAGCGUGGGUAGCAAACAGGAUUAGAUACCCGAGUAGUC